rnacentral:rRNA from 1 species
UACGGAAGGCAGCAGUGGGGAAUAUUGCACAAUGGGCGAAAGCCUGAUGCAGCUAUGCCGCGUGUAUGAAGAAGGCCUUAGGGUUGUAAAGUACUUUCAUCGGGGAGGAAAAAACAAAACUAAUAAUUUUAUUUCUUGACGUUACCCGAAAAAGAAGCACCGGCUAACUCCAUGCCAGCAGCCGCGGUAAUACGGAGGGUGCUAGCGUUAAUCAGAAUUACUGGGCGUAAAGAGCACGUAGGUGGUUUUUUUAAGUCAGAUGUGAAAUCCCUGGGCUUAACCUGGAACUGCAUUUUGAAACUGAAAUACUAGAGUAUCGUAGAGGGAGGUAGAAUUCUAGGUGUAGCGGUGAAAUGCGUAGAUAUCUGGAGGAAUACCUGUGGCGAAAGCGGCCUCCUAAACGAAUACUGACACUGAGGUGCGAAAGCGUGGGGAGCAAACAGGGAUUAGAUACC